GGAAGCAGGCGGUGCAUCAUGGCCUCUCCCAUUUUGAAGAGACCCUUGUCCAGCAGGCUGAGGCAAAGAGGAAGUCCCAAAACCAACAAAAUCAGGGAGCUGGACAGGGAACAGACUGUAUUUGUCUUCAGUGUGGAAGGGAUUGUCACUCUCAAAUUGGCCUUCUCAGCCACACUAGAUGCUGUUUCAAGUCCUCCAUAUUAGAGAGCAUGUUACCAUAGUCUCUUGAGACUGAAAGAUGCUUAAUCAUCAUUGUGCUAUAAUGCUUCUUUCUGUGCGUCAGUCCUGACAUCUUAUUUUGUAAUCUGCAGACACAUAAAGAUCUCCCAGUCUACAAAGCUGAGCAGUAGCAGACAGUCAGGUAUUAAUAACUAGAGUAUGAUUUAAUCUGUGAGUUUCAUGUCAAAUAGCAAACAAAACAUAAUCCUCAAUGAGUCCUAAUCUAGUUGGGGCUAGACCUGCUAGUGGGCUGCAUUUCACAAAAACUGAGAUCAGAUAAAUUAUAAGUUUUUUACAGGCCACAAGACUGUAUGCACAUGCUUUUGUUUUGCAUCCUAGACACAAAUUUGAUUUUAUUAUUUAAAUCCGGGAAAACAAUCACCUGUAGCCAGCCAAAGCACAGUGAAGUUAGCCGGGAGAGGAAUCCCACUGAGCUGACGGACUGCAGGACACAUCUAUAACAACGAGAAAGAAACAAUCCUUUUUUUUUUUUAAGGGAAACAGGCUCGCUGCUUUGAGUGGCUUGUGCUCCUCCGAAAAGGGCCCCCCUCCAUGCCUCAUGCUUUCUUUGCCAAGACCCCCCUCCCUUGGUUUGCCACCGGUGGACCCUCCGCUUCUGAUUUCCCUGCCUUUGCCAGCGCCUCGCUUGCUUUGCCUUCCCCUCACCCUUGCCUCGUCCGGGGCCAGCGCCGCUACCGGCUCCGGCAACGCCUCCGCCUCUCCUCCAGCCACUCCGGUGGAGCCAGCCUCCUCCUCUCCAGAACAGCAGCCAGCUCCCCAGUCCCAUUGAGUUUCUCAGGGGAGUCGAUCCUUUGCUUGGGAAAAAAAAGCACCAGGAGCUGUGAGCGGCCGGUGCUUCUGCAAAGAGGGCUGCAAGCCAGCGGCAGCAGCGCGGGUGUCAGGAUGGGGAAGUUACCAUUGAGGACAGGUGAGCAAGCCAACUUUCUUCCGGUAUAGUUAAUUAACUAGUAUUUCUGUAUAAUUUAUAAAGUUCAUUAAAUAAGAAUUGAUUUUAGAUUUCUUAUUUAAAAAGCAAAACAUUUCAAAUGAGGGGUUGGCAAGAUUGGAACGGACAUCAAGGAAGAAUGUAACUAUUUUCUCUCCAGUGUUGCCUUCUGCACUAAUAUAUGAGUGGAUAUAUUGCUGUAUCUCAGUGUUGCUGCAGAGGAAGAAGGGGUUGAAAUUUUCCCUUCGUAGCUCAGAGUUAUGCUUCAGAGAGGUCUGAUUGGUCAUCUACAAUAUUUUGCACUAAACAGAUUACACUUAUGAAUAACCUUUCAAAACUCAUUCCUUAAAUUGGCCCCUUAAAAUUUUCUCUCUGCAGGUUUCAUAAUUAUGUUGACUCUGUGACUAGGUAUGAAUAAUGUCACUUGGGCUUACUUAUUGAGGAGUGGUUCUAAAAGUGUAUCUCAUCCGUUCAUUUCUGGGGGCUGAGUAGGAGAAUGGAGGCACUCUGGAGGUUGUUGGACUGCAGUAGCCAGCCAGUAUAAGGAGUAGCCGGCAUUGCCAGUGUUGGAGGAUAAAUGGAGUUGCAGUGCAGUCUAGCAAAGUACAUGUUGGAGUUUUGUUUGCAACCUCUCAUGCUGUUUGUGGUUUGUGCGACUGGGAAGGACAUUUCUGGCACAAUUAUAUAUUUAUCCAGCACUAACCAAUCAAUCUUUCCAGCCUUUGAUUCAAAGAGAGUCCUGCCUUUCUACUGAGUGUCUUUUUCGCUCUCUUUCCUUGGAUAGCAGCAGUUGUUUGCUUGCUGUUGAUCUGUUCAGUUAGUUGCCAGUAUGACUGCAGGAAAGAAAGCAAUAUGCACAAGCCAGUAAUUUCAACCAACUGUAAGUAAAGAUAUGUUUUUAUUCUUUCUCCUACAAAUGUCUCAGUGAUUUAUUGAGAUGGUUGUUGUGGGUUUUUUGGGCUCUUUGGCUGUGUUCUGAAGGUUGUUCUUCCUAACAUUUUGCCAGUCUCUGUGGCCGGCAUCUUCAGAGAACAGCACUCUGUGCGCUGAAGAUGCCGGCCACAGAGACUGGCGAAACGUUAGGAAGAACAACCUUCAGAACACAGCCAAAGAGACUGAAAAACCCACAACAACCAUUAGAUCCCGGCCGUGAAAGCCUUCGCGAAUAGAUUUAUUGAGACUUUAGAUGCCAGUUUAUGAGAAAGGGAUGGAGUUUGGGGAACUUGUAGCUAUUAUCUGUGAAUCUCUGUACUUCUAUGGCAUAGAAAAAGGAAUUUUACCAGAAAUUCAAAACAUUGCAAUGCAUGUUGCCCACCUCUGGUCUAAUCCAUGGCCUGGCUCUUGGCCACACCUUCCAGUUCAGGCAACUCUCAUGUUCAGCCUGUGGUGAGUAAACACUGAAGGCACAAUUCUGCCAUCAUACAGGUUUAAGAAAAUGUGUUUUAUGUUGUUUGUAGCACAUCCCUUUCUAAAUCUUUGAACAAAACUGCUUGUUGGCUCUGUGUCUUUUACUUUGUCAGGAGACAGUACAGUAUUUCUAAUACAAAAGAAAGCAAACCUCAGGACUCUGUGCACGUGCUUUUAUCCAUUGCAACAAAUCUGCUGUUUUCUGUUUCCAGCUUCUGCCUACAAGCUGGUGUGUUAUGUCACUAACUGGGAUCAAUACAGGAAAGGAUCAGCCAAGUUCACACCAGAUAAUGUAGACCCUUACUUGUGUACCCAUCUGAUCUUUGCUUUUGCUGGCAUACAAAAUAACCAAAUUACUACUACAGAAUGGAAUGAUGAAUUACUUUACAGGCAGCUCAAUGCCUUAAAGAAGAAGUAAGUAGCUAUCAAAAUUAGAGUAUUUCUACAAUGAUGAUGUUGCCUGCUUGCUUGACAACUUAACCAAACCAGGGGCGUUAUGUGCAUAUUUUCUUUUGUUUGUUUCUUUGCUUGUUCAGCUAUACAGCCAAGGCUUCUAUGAUGUUAUCUCAAAAGACUGAGUGUGGCUGUGGAAAUCAGAAGUUUGAAAUCUCAUGUUUAAUGCACAUUAGAUAGUUGGCUUUGGCUGUAGCUCUUUUAGGUUAAAAUUUGGAUGCUUCCAAAUGGAUAGGCCCUAGAGCUACUAUUCAAAGCACACGUAUGUCUAUUCUGCUUUUCCUUCUUUUAUGAAUUGGUGUGUGUGUGUAUGUGUGAAAUGAAACACAAAGGAAGAGGGUGGGGAAAUGCAAGAAGUGGUUUUAAAAUGGAAUUGUGAAAUCCCACAAGUUCCUUGAAUGAAGGGUAGGCAAUUACACAAUAAAGACAUUGAAAGCAUUCCUACUGGCA
rnacentral:lncRNA from 1 species